rnacentral:tRNA from 1 species
GCCUGAGUGGCUCAGUAGGUUGAGCAUCUGACUCUUGAUUUCAGCUUGGUCAUGAUCUCAGGAUGGUGGGAUUGAACCCCAUGUCAGGCU